ACUAACCCAACAAUUCUCAUCUUAUUAUGCUUAAAAUACUUUUAAAUAUUAGACAGUUCGGCAACACACUGGAAGAAAUUAAAUCAAUCCCCAAUAACUGUUGAAUGAUAAUUACUAAAGGAAAGCAUCUCUCCUAUGACAGUCAUGAUUGUGACUCUGUUAACUGGCUGUCCUUUAGCUCUAGGUUCAAGUUUGAGAUAAACUUCUUACUACCCUGACCAAGUACCUGAAAGUUCUGAGAGAUACGUGACCUUUCUUUGGAAGUUAUACUAUCCUUGUACCUGACUUGGGUCACACAAUGAGCUCAGAACUCAAACUGGAUCUGAUGGGCCUCUGGUAUCGCUAUGACAACUGGGUGAUGAUGUAAAUAUUUCACACUCAUCAACGUUUGGCUGUGUGUCCGUAAAGUAGUGUGAGCUCUUCGGGGUCCUUAAUUCUUAAGGAUGGAAAGGAUAAAUCCUGAGGAAGUCUGAGGGCUUCUCCUUGGGGCGAGGAUGCUGUGGCUUCUGUUGCUGCUGCCAUCUUCUGACCAUGAGGAGUCAGUCAAACAACCAGGAAGGCAGGGCAGAGAGAACGAGUCUGUGAGGUCGCUUUGACUCUCUGAAGCCCCAACCCUGCUCAACACAAAGAACGUGAGGCCCCAAGGAACAAAGCCACCAGAUGGAAAGGGCCUGGAUUUCUGAAUCACUCAUAAUGGAGAGCUGCUUGCCAACAAGAAAUACCUGCAUGGGACUGCUAACGGAGUACAAAAUAAACUUCAUUUUUUAA